rnacentral:rRNA from 1 species
UACGUAGGGUCCGAGCGUUGUCCGGAAUUAUUGGGCGUAAAGAGCUCGUAGGCGGUUUGUCGCGUCUGCGUGUGAAAACCCGAGGCUCAACCUCGGGCCUGCAGUGGGUACGGGCAGACUAGAGUGCGGUAGGGGAGAUUGGAAUUCCGGGUGUAGCGGUGGAAUGCGUAGAGAUCCGGAAGAACACCGGUGGCGAAGGCGGUCUGCUGGGGUAAUGCUGACACUGGAUGCGCGACAGCGUGGGGAGCAAACAGG